rnacentral:lncRNA from 1 species
UUUAUACUUUAAUUUAAUAUUUAAUCAACUAAUUGAUGUUAUUGGGAACUUGUAUAGUUCACACUCUUUGGCUCUACCCAUGAAUUAUCCAGUAAUAGGUCUUUCACAAUCAAAUCUACCUAUACAGUAACGGUAUUUAAUUAUGAAAGUUUGCUGGGCAGCUGACCCUCUUAGUCUGUUAUUGCCAGAGUGGGAGCCUGCCUAAUCUUUAUGUUUUAUGCUUUUUAAAUAAGAUUUCCUCCGCUUAAUGGAUAACCAUUUGUUACCAAUGGAGAAUUUCUUAUCAUCNNN